GGUAUGUAUUACAGCGCAACAAACAAAAGAAAAAAAGGAUUUUUUAUUAAAAAGCGGGUGGAUACCGUGUGACACCCACCCUAGUGGCACCACUGCCGCAGACCAUAACUUUUAAUGGAGAAACGUGGCACCACUAGAAGCGAUGAGUCUAUUGAGCGCAGGACUCUCCGAGGGACAUUUGGAGUUAUCAGUUCGCAAAGUCUCCUCAACUAUGGACCACUUCAAAGGCACGCUUCAGUGACUGCAUACCAGUUCAAGUAAAAAAAGAGGCACCAAUGACAAGCCAAGAUUUUUUCCCCUGGUCCUUCAAUUCACAAGUGGACAUAAGAUACUCAUUUAGGUCUGAACUCUAAGAGCAGGGCCAGGAGAGCUGCAUCGAGAACUUUGUCAAGGAGCAAAAAGGACUAUCUAUCUUAUUCAAAAUCAUUUGUGAAUAAAAUGUACCACAAUGGCGAUGUCACAGCCCCUUGGGGCGUCCCUGUGUUGACUUAUGUGUUUUAGAUGUUGCAUUGUUUAUCCUUACCCUCUGAGGUCUUUGUCGAAAAUUCAUUAGCCAAUAGUAUGAUAUAUGGACUAA